AUAGACUUAUAGUACUUGUUGGUCAGUUCCUUGGUAAAAUUCCUUUUGUUAAUCUCAGUGCUUCCACUGAAACAGAGGGGAGAGGAGGAAUAAUUUUACAAGAGAAACAGAGUCUCACUACCAAAGUCACAGCAUCUCUUGAGCAAGCCAACAGGACUGAGCAGAAUGGAAGGGAAGGGAAGGUGAUGAAGUGAACCUCCAGGGGGCAGUAGAGUCCACGCGCUGCGUGGGCAUUUCCUCUGCAGUUCUAGAACCAAUCAUCGGUUAGGACAUACUCAGCCUGGUGCUAAAGUAGGGAUCCAGUUAAUGGGAAGAACUAAAAAGAACUCUACACUGGGAAAGAAAGUAGCAGUGGAGCAGGCUACCAGUCGGUAGGAAACGGGAAGGAAACGGACCUCUGAGACCAUGGAGAUGGACAGGGAAAAUAAUGCAUACUGAUGUUUAUCUUUAAAUUUCACUGGAGGAGGAAGAGGCGGUGACUGGCGGGCCUGGGACCUAGGCAUCUCAGAAGCAUCUAAAAGCAACACUAGUCCCGCAUCAAAAUAAAGCCUGUUACAAGACUGACAACUUUCAGGCUCAAGCUGCUGUUCAGGGAAAAGUAUACUUUUUCACUUUCAAUUCGUGAGGAGCACGCCAUAGGUUUGCCACCACUGCCCUGGAGUGAGGAUCAAAACCCCCUCGUCUUUCCCCCUAGCCCGGGAGCGAUGGAGCCAGGAUGGGGAGCGAAGGGCGAAGAUCAGCCCACUUCCUGGCCACCUCUUCGUGGUCUCUGCAGAAAUUCCUUCUGCUCCUGCUCCUCCACACCCUGUCAGGGUUUUUUUUUCUCUGUUU
rnacentral:lncRNA from 1 species